GUUAACUGUUAAAUUUGCAGUGCAUCAUUCGAAGUGUGCAACAUCAGCGUACUUAUAUCUGCCUUAGACUCUUUAUUUGUGCAAAAUAACGUUGUCAAAAACUUUACUUUCGUUUUUAAAACUAAUACCGGAUGUUAUCUUGACAAUGGUAAAACAUGGACCAGAGACGGAUACGUAAAUUCCGUGUACGUUUGCAAAGCAUGAAUGAGUAUUUAUCGAAGCUUCCAGAGUCUUUCAUCCAAUUCUUCAUACAUGGGAAAAUACUAUUCAUAACUACCUCUCUAAAGGAGUCCCUGUUGAAAAUUCAGAAUUUAAAUUUAUUUUUGAUCCACCAUCUAGCUCAAAAUACACAUUGUAUGACCAGUGCAAAAUUAUUUCCUGCGUACCAAAUGACCAUUAUUGGAAUGAGGGAACCAAUGCUCAUGUUGGCUAUGGUAGAAUGCUAUCCGUCCGUGAUUCCACUGAGAAAUAUAAGCCUGCUUCUCUUCGUAAUUUGAUACUUUUCCAUCACAGAGAAUCCAACUACUCUGCAAUAUUUCGAUUAGUUGACAAGUUUCGUAACCCAGAGUCUUCUCCAGCCAAUUCACGGCAGUGUUAACGUAUAUUUGUUCCGCCUAACAGAAGUUCCACUGGAAACUUUGUUAUAAACAAUGUCAUAAUAUCUAUUCCUGUUGUAACAAAUAUUCUAUACCAUUUAUUCCGUUAGGAACAUAUACUGUAAUAUUUAUUCCUGUGGAAAUAAUAUUCCAGAAUAUUUUUUCCUUUUGGAACUUAUAUCAUGAAGGAACUUCUAUUCUGUGACAGCAGAACAUCAAUGACGACAAUAUCAACAUUGGGGACAAUAUGCAAAAUUCUACUCUGAGACAAGUAAGACCUAAACGAAAAGCUUUAAAUGAAGAGGAUAUUUUAAGAAACCUUAGAUCUGUAAAUCCUCUCUUUACACACACAACAGGGCUUCAGAAAAUUCCUUGUAUGAAAAGUAUAAAACAGCUCAAAUUGAGACUGGAGGUUUAUUUUGGCGUGUACACAAAUCAGAUACCGAUGUCCUCUGUUUAAAUGAUGUCAACAUGACCACUGGAUGUUUAAUGGAGUCAUCUUUUGUUCACAUGUCGAGGAGAACUGUUGGGAAUGUCAACGUAUACCAUUGCACAUGUACACUGUUUGCAACUUUAUUACAGCUCCCAACAUUAGAUGAACAGCCUGACACAGAAAUAGAUUCUAUUAUCAUCAAAUGCUGCCAUAUAAGGUAUUUCAAAGAAAUUAUUGAACCAGAUUAUCCCAUCUACUUCAGCACAGAAUUUUUUACAUCACCAACAAAAUCUCAGAAAAGUAUAAUGAUAUCUUUGGCUGCUUUACAAAAACCUGUAAUUUUACUUCUGUCUUCUCUUCGAACCAAAAAAUUUUCAGUUGUACCAAACAGUAGUCAAGAUUGUAAGUUUGUGAAUGUUUCCAGAAACCAUGUAUCAUGCCAGUCCGGUGAAUGUAGUGCCAUUUACAGUUUUUCUACUCGGAAAGUCAUAUACUUGAGCGAAACAACUAAUAUUUGUCCUCAUCUGCAAGCAAUGAAAAACCACAAAAAUUUAUGGAUGAAUGUUAAUUAUAUCGAAGAAGACUUUGAAGAUGAAGAUGAGGAAGCAUUUAUUGAUAAUGAGGAAGAUGAGAAUGAUCUGGAGGAUACUUAUCAACCAGAAACUACUCAAACAAAGAGGUAAUGGCUAAACGUACACCGGGUUUUAAAUCUGCAAAACAGAAGCGAAAAUCAGAGGCAGUUUCUGAAGCUCAAAGAAGAUGAUGGGAGACAUCAAAACUUGUUCAGGACCACCCAUACGCUGUUAUUUCUGAGCGCAAUUCCAAUAAACCGGAUAUAUCAAACUGUAUUAAUGAGGAGGUCAUUGACGUUGACGGUAGCAAUGUAACUGCAGUUUUUACAGAAUGGAGAGUUGGUCGUAGGGUCGUGGAAUUGGGAGUUUUGGCGGAUGGGUUAUCAGCUUGCAAGAAAUGCGGUCUUCCCCUUUCUUUGCAAAACUGCAGCAACAUUAACUCGUACGGUCUAGCUGCCAUUUUGAAGAUUGUAUGUGCCAACACAGCCUGUCUCAACACAAAUCUCAUUCCCACAGGAAAAAGACAUGGAAAAGUAUGGGAUGUCAAUUCCAAAUUAGCAGCAGGACUUGGAGAGCAGCAAGUGAAUGGAAUUUUAGCAGAGCUGAAUAUUCCAACAGUCAGCCAUUCCAUGUUGGAUGAACGACAAAAAGAAAUUGGAGGGGUAAUUGAGAAUGUUGCAGAGGAGUCUAUUAAAGAGUGG